AACUUUCAACAACGGAUCUCUUGGUUCUCGCAUCGAUGAAGAACGCAGCGAAAUGCGAUAAGUAAUAUGAAUUGCAGAUUUUCGUGAAUCAUCGAAUCUUUGAACGCACAUUGCGCCCUUUGGUAUUCCAAAGGGCAUGCCUGUUUGAGCGUCAUUUCUC
rnacentral:rRNA from 1 species